rnacentral:rRNA from 1 species
AGUGAAGCGGCAACAGCUCAAAUUUGAAAUCUGGCCCCUAGGGUCCGAGUUGUAAUUUGUAGAGGAUGCUUUUGGUGAGGUGCCGCCCGAGUUCCCUGGAACGGGACGCCACAGAGGGUGAGAGCCCCGUCUGGCUGGCCGCCGAGCCUCUGUAAAGCUCCUUCGACGAGUCGAGUAGUUUGGGAAUGCUGCUCAAAAUGGGAGGUAUAUGUCUUCUAGAGCUAAAUAUUGGCCAGAGACCGAUAGCGCACAAGUAGAGUGAUCGAAAGAUGAAAAGCACCUUGAAAAGAGGGUUAAAUAGUACGUGAAAUUGUUGAAAGGGAAGCGCUUGUGACCAGACUUGGGCGCGGCGGAUCAUCCGGGGUUCUCUCCGGUGCACUUCGCCGCGUCUAGGCCAGCAUCAGUUCGUCGCGUGGGACAAAGGCUUCGGGGACGUGGCUCCUCCGGGAGUGUUAUAGCCCGUUGCAUACUACCCUGCGGUGGACUGAGGACCGCGCAUC